UCCGGCUCCUAAGGCGAGGCCGAAAGGCGUAGUCGAUGGGAACGGGGUUAAUAUUCCCCGGCCAGCGGAUGGUGACGAAUCCCGUGUAUUGUCAGGUCUUAACGGAUUGAUCUGGCAGUGAAGGGGUUCCAGGAAACAGCCCCGCGCAAGACCGUACCCGAAACCGACACAGGUGGACUGGUAGAGUAUACCAAGGCGCUUGAGAGAACUCUGCUGAAGGAACUCGGCAAAUUGCCUCCGUAACUUCGGGAUAAGGAGGCCCCGGUUGUGGGCAACCAUGAUCGGGGGGCACAAGCCAGGGGUGGCGACUGUUUAACAAAAACACAGGGCUCUGCGAAGUCAUGAAGACGACGUAUAGGGUCUGACGCCUGCCCGGUGCCGGAAGGUUAAGAGGAGAGGUGCAAGCUUUGAAUCGAAGCCCCGGUAAACGGCGGCCGUAACGAUAACGGUCCUAAGGUAGCGAAAUUCCUUGUCGGGUAAGUUCCGACCUGCACGGGCGUAACGACUUCCCCGCUGUCUCCAGCAGAGACUCAGUGAAAUUGAAUUCCCCGUGAAGAUGCGGGGUUCCUGCGGUUAGACGGAAAGACCCCGUGCACCUUUACUGCAACUUUGCGCUGGCAUUCGUGUCGGCAUGUGUAGGAUAGGUGGUAGGCAUUGAAGCGGGGGCGCCAGCCUUCGUGGAGCCAACCUUGAAAUACCACCCUUAUCGUCAUGGAUGUCUAACUGCGGUUCGACAGGAUCCAGGACAGCGCAUGGUGGGCAGUUUGACUGGGGCGGUCGCCUCCCAAAGAGUAACGGAGGCGCGCGAUGGUGGGCUCAGAGCGGUCGGAAAUCGCUCGUCGAGUGCAAUGGCAUAAGCCUGCCUGACUGCGAGACAGACAAGUCGAGCAGAGACGAAAGUCGGCCAUAGUGAUCCGGUGGUCCCGCGUGGAAGGGCCAUCGCUCAACGGAUAAAAGGUACGCCGGGGAUAACAGGCUGAUCUUCCCCAAGAGUCCAUAUCGACGGGAAGGUUUGGCACCUCGAUGUCGACUCAUCACAUCCUGGGGCUGGAGCAGGUCCCAAGGGUUCGGCUGUUCGCCGAUUAAAGUGGUACGUGAGUUGGGUUCAGAACGUCGUGAGACAGUUCGGUCCCUAUCUGCCGUGGGUGUUCGAGACUUGAGACGAUCUGUCCUUAGUACGAGAGGACCGGGAUGGACGCACCACUGGUGGACCUGUUGUCCUGCCAAGGGCAGUGCAGGGUAGCUAUGUGCGGACGGGAUAACCGCUGAAGGCAUCUAAGCGGGAAACCCACGUCAAAACAAGGUCUCGCAAAAUAGAGCCGUGGUAGACGACCACGUCGAUAGGCCGGGUGUGUAAGGGCAGUAAUGUCUUCAGCUUACCGGUACUAAUAGCUU
rnacentral:rRNA from 1 species